rnacentral:rRNA from 1 species
AAACUUUCAACAACGGAUCUCUUGGCUCUCGCAUCGAUGAAGAACGCAGCGAAAUGCGAUACGUAGUGUGAAUUGCAGAAUUCCGUGAAUCAUCGAAUCUUUGAACACAAAUUGUACUUUCCAGUAUUCUGGAGGAGUAUGCUUGGUUGAGGGUCAUUA